CGGGCGCGAUUUCGCGAGACCCUCUCCGCUCACGUGCUUCCGGGAAGUGACGCGCGUCAGAAAGCUCGUGCGGCGCUCGGGCCGGAGCUGGUCCCGCCCAGUCACGUGACGGCAGGCGUUGGCCACAAUUUCAGGCUGUGGCUGUGUUAGAGACGCUCGCAGGACGUUUCAAGACCACGUCUUCUGAAAACGAGGAUCAGUCGGUCUGUGAAGAAAACUUUCGGGACACGAGCAUGUACCGAAGGCGCCAUGAAAAACGACCGAAUGGAUUCAGCAUAAAAAGUCAUCUAUUUGGAGGGACCCUGCCAUCGGUGUCAUUCUGGGAAGCCGAGUGAGGCAUGACAAUUGUGAGGCGUACGUGUAACGCUGGCGUCCUAACAGUUUCAGCCGCUGUUUUCAGGUGCCUGCACUGCUUCUGUUCUGUCCUGCUUCCUACGCUGUUCCACGACAGGAAGUCAGAAGAAAAUGGGCCUGAAGACCACGUUUGGCUUAUACGCCGCGGAGAGGACUCCUCAAUCUGGACAUUUAUUCAGAUUUUCAGUUAUCCUCACCUCAUCUGCAGUUCCCCGUAUCAUUAAGCCGAACACAGAGUUGACUGCAGGGAGAGCCCUCAGCAUUCCGUCCGUGAGCGCUGCUGAGGCACGAGGAGAGGCAGAAAAUGGCGAAGUUCUGGGGCAGAGCGGCUUUCUUCCUCGUUUGCCCCAACGUCAAGUUCCGAGAAUCCUCCAGCAUAUACGGCUCUAAUUUCAGUUCAUCAACACCUUGGCUUCGACACAGAUGACUUGCCCACGAAGGGGAGAGCCAGAACACGGGGCGCUGCUCUCGGGGACAUGAAUGGAUCCUGCAGGCCACGACCCUCCGGGGGGCCGCCUGUCCUCCACACCUCCCAGCUCAGCACAGCUCUGGCCCCCGGUGUUGGGCUUUGUCACCGGCAGCGGGCCUGAGAGCCCCUCUGCCGUGUAGACCAAGAGUGCUGGUGCCAGACAGCAGAUGCAGAGGAGGAGGAGGGGUGGGCCGCAGGUGACACUGCGGUGGGACGGGGAGGGCAGCGCGGUGUGAUUACUGCACACGGUGGCCAAGCUGGACAGGGCCGAGCCCCCAGAUGACUCCCGGGGAGGCCCCUGCACGGACUCUGUCCCAUUAGGGCCGCUUCUAACCAGCGGCUUCUCUCUGCUUUCACUGACGGAGCUCAGGGGCGGCCCCUGUGCCCUGUCCCCGCAUCAUCAGACUUAACUCCCAUGGAAAACUCCAACAUUCCCUUUUGCAAGGUUGAGCUUUACCUCCAAUGUCCAGAUGUGUGGGUCCCCGGGUCUUCGGGGCACCGUCCCCCACACCUGCCAUGCUCUCUUAGCUGGUCACGACACAAGCUGCUAGGAAAACAGAUCAUCCAUUGUGCCUGGACUGGUGCAGUACCCCAACCAGUGCUUUCAGAAGGUAGCCGCGUCACAAAGCUCAUUCGUUCUCUGCUCAUAAAUAGUCGGCAGCCCCUCUUCAGGAGGGGUGGGUCUUGUUUUGUUUCAUUUUUAAUUUUUAACGUUUUUAUUUUUGUGAGAGACAGAACGAGUAGGGGAGGGGGGCAGAGAGAAAGAGGGAGACACAGAAUCAUGGGAAGCAGGCUCUGGGCUCUGAGCUGUCAGCACAGAGCCAGAUGUGGGGCUCAAACCCACGAACCGUGAGAUCGUGACCUGAACUGAAGUCGGAUCCUCAACCGACUGAGCCCCCGGGCGCCCCAGGAGAGGUGGGUCUUAAACACAUGUGUGAGCCCCCCCGGGGAAGAGCUGGGGGAGGCGUUCUGGACAGAGGGAGCUUGCGAGUGACAGCUGUUCCCCUGCUGGGUGGGCCGCAGACACGAGCUCAGGGAAGCAUUGUGAGGUGGUUUCUAACCCCCGCUGCACAGGCCCUAAAACUAAGCCCCGGAAAGCAUGGGCCGUGGCCACGGUCAGAGCAACAAGCGGGAGCACAGGUCUCUCUGGUCUGACGGGGGUGACACAGCCUCCCCUAACCUGCAAGGGUAGCAGAGAGUGUACUCUGGAAGAUUCCACCAGCAGAUGUCAGGGACAACUCAGGCAGGGUACCCGGCUCGGCUGUCUCUCACACACCCCCAGUUUUCUCGGCCCCUUCUGGCAAGCGGUGGCUGAGGAACACGGGGCUAGUCCAGGGGACCGAAGCGGGAGUCUGCUCCGUGCAGUCUGCGGAAAAGCUUUCACUUUUCUGACAGAGAAAUGGGCUGUUGGCUUCAGGCCACGUGCCCCUGCCCUUCUUUCGUCUGAGUGGAGCAUGAAGCCACGACCUGGGACAGCAGCAGCCACCUUGAGGUCAUAAGGGAGCCGCACAAGGACAGACUACGGCGGCCUUUGGUGGCACGGAAUGGACCCCAGCAACUCCCGGACUCUGGGCUUUGGGUUAUUCGGGACAAAUAAACUUCCACUGAACUAUUAGGUGGAUUUUCUGUUAGCUGCCACCAAGUGCAAGGGCACGGGGCUGGGUGCCUUGGGUGGUGAUGAAGGUGGGCUUCCCAGGUUCAAUCCCAUCCUCUAGCGGCAUUCACAGCUGCCCGGUCCCUCUCUGCUUAGCACAGCUCCGAGCCCAGCCACACUGCACCUGCUAGAAAUACCGAAUCCCUACUGAGCCAGAAUCUGCACCUCAACAGGGUCUCCAGGCAGUCUGGAGGUUACCAAUUUGCAAAGCUGAGGAAGUGCUCAAUGCCCAACACCCCCGCCUGGUCGGGAGGCAGGCUGGCCAGUCUGGCAAUGAAAGACAGUCUCUGCUCUGGUCGCUACAUCAGCGGUACACGGAUCACCCAGGAGCCCCAAACCUCAAGCCCUACCCCGAGCCUCGGAGGUGGGCCCAGGAAUCUGGGUGUGAGGCACAUAGCUGCAGAAAUGCUGCUAGGCUCAAGAGAACCUGCUGGAAAGGGGGCAGGAGGUGUGCGGUG